CCUUAACAGUAUUAUCCUAAGUUGUGGAGAAAGGCUGCUCUCACCAGCACAAGAGACUUGGGCUGUUGUCUUCUGCAUAAAGAGGGGGAAAGACAUCUCCCAUAAUAGGGGGGAGAAAUCACUCACUUCUAUAACUCAAAUUUUAUCAAGGCCCACAUUUAAUUGUAAAUCUUUUUUUUUUUUUUUUUUUUUUUUAAGGAGGGGAAAGUUCAGUAACUUGAGUCUUUUAUUGGGAGCAUUCUUUUCCUAUUUGUAUUAGGGACUGGUAGACUCCAAUAGUAAAUUCAUAGAGGGUAGCAGAUGCCUUUAUUUCUGUUAGGCUACAUAAUGUGGGUCAAAGUUUUAUAAGAAGCACAAUGUCUUUUAUUAGCAUAGGAUUUAGCAAAAGCAGAAUGUAUUUGUUUGGAAAAUUUUCAUUUAGGCUGAUUCUCACUAAGACCCAUCCUAGGUUUAGCCUUAAAAUAACAUGUUUAUAAUAGCUUUUUCCCCAAAAAGCAAAUUCAUGGAUUUAUCACAAAACAGAAAUAUACUUCCAAUCUAUUGAUAUGUGGUCAUCGAGAUAAUAACUGAUUUAAAUAUCAGACAACCUUGAAUUCAAAAUACUAUUUUAAGUUAAAGAUUUACAGAAUAAAAAUACAUUGGUUUUAAAUGUCCCCUUCUCCGUUAGCUUUAUACCUUCUGAGGCUAGAGUGGGUUACUGAUAAAAGUAAUUUAAAUACAUAUAAUCCUUUAAUAAUUUCCUCUCUGUUGGUAUUUUAUUGUUUGUCUUCAGUUACAGAGUUCCUCAAAAGUUAAAGACUAAUGUCUCAUCCAGAAGAAAAGAUAUUAAAACAGAAGGCUGUACAAGAUUUUAAUACAGAGAUUUUUAUCGGUUUCAUCACAAUCUUCCCUUUCAAGAAUCUUCUUCCUGUUCUGCAAAUCUAUUUGUAAGGAUCUUGGCAGAUGUAAUCAAGUUGAGAUGAGAUCAUCUUGGAUUAGGGUGAGCCCUAAAUCCACUGACUUGGUGUCUUUGUAAGAGAAAGGAAAGCGAGAUUUGGAUGCAGACACAUAGAGAAGAACGUGAAGCUGUGAAGAAGCUGAUGUGCAGAUGGAGGCAAAGACGGGAGUGAUGGCAUCUAUAAGCCAAGGACCACCAAGAAUCGCUGGGGUCCACCAGAAGCUAGGCAGAGGCAGCAGGGAUUCUUCCUUAGAGCCUUUAGAGAAAGUGUGGCCCUGCCCACACCCUGAUUUCAGAUUCCUCA
rnacentral:lncRNA from 1 species